CUAUAUCCGAAGGGGUGUCAGCCCGCUCGCUGACUGAGAACACACCCUGGAACCUGAUCUGGAUAAUACCAGCGGAGGAAUUCGGAGAAAUAUCAAGC
rfam:Candidate division KSB1 4572_119 ex4572_119_scaffold_5354, whole genome shotgun sequence.